ensembl:lncRNA
AAUAUUUCCUUCUGAAAGAGGAGUGAGGAAGCCUGAAGAGCAGUAUAGAUCCAGAAGAGGACUGCACUUAUACCAUCUCCUGGAAGCUUGUAGCGUUACUCUGAAGUACAAGUCAACAAGAUGUGGAAGAAAAAUAUGCUAUUUUGCAAUAAAUGGAUGGGGAGAAGUGGCAGGAGAGGAGCAGAUACCUCUGAGACCUUCAUGAACACCGUAUUUCCAAUUGCAUCACAUGGUUUUUCCAAAGAGACCUUCCAGUUGCACUGCUGUGAAGAAAAACCUCUUGCAAAACAAGUGGAAUUAGUGGAAUCUUGUUCUGUUACAAGUUUACCCCUAGUUUCCAUCUAUCUGCAGCAAGCACUUGGAGGGAGCAAGACUGAGGCUGAUUUUCAUCGUUAUCCUGAUUUCUCCACUCAUAACUAUUUGAGCUUAACUUUGCACGACCUGGGCUUCUAAAAUUAACAAACAAUAACAACCAAACCUUUGUUUUACCAGUAGAUGCUGUGAAUAUGAGGCGCUGUUUUUUGUUGUUUUCUUAAAGCAAUUAACAUCAAGAGGCAACUCACUGGCAGAUGAAAACAGGCCAGUCCUAACCAACUUGACAGUGUCAUUUUAAUAAGAUCUCCUCUGGAAUCAUUAAUAAGAUCUCUGGAGCUUGCUCGAGUGAUUCGUAUGCCAGGACUGAAAAUGUUUAUGGAGUGGGAUGACUCCUGUAUGCUGAGAGUCCUUUAUACGCUCACCUUUUGAUGGGGAAUUGGAGAAACAGGUGGAUACAAAACGCUCUCCUGUAUUCCCCACUGCACCGCCGGUGCAGCAGGAGAGCCCAUGGUCCCCAUGCAGGGCAAUAUCAAGCACUGCCAUAUAGUUGCUUCAUAGGGACAACGUAGAGGGAAGGAUAUUGAGAUAGAUUUUUCCAUGCUUCAACAAGAGUAAUGCACAUGGAGCAUUCCUCUUGCCCCAUCCACCUACUUGGUGGAAGAAUACCUGGGCUCUCUGCUAUCACAUGCUGGAGACCCCACUGCAGAACACCUGCCUUCCUACCCUGCUGCUCCAUGCUUCAGCAAGGGGUUGUACCUUCAGCUUCAAAGGCAUGCCUUUAAACUCCCUGUAACUGGAGACUCAUUUUUCAUGCUGAAUGAGAUAAAAUUCCCACUGUUACCUCAUUUACAUCUCAAUGCUGGUAGGUUAUAGAUGGCUAUUAUUUAUAUAUGUGUAAGACAUCCAUUUCUUAUUCUGUGGAAUACAGUAAGAAGAAAAAUACUCAUCCCUCCUGUUCACCUUCUCUGGAUUGUCGUUUCUAUUUUUUUUUAUUUUUUUUAAUCCCUUGCUCAAGUUUGACUGUUGCUGAGAAUUUGCAAAUAAAUAAAGGAACUAACAGC